CUACGAACCUGAAGGCGAGGAAUACCUUUGUGGACAUGAAAUGGUCGUUACCCACACUUCCCGAUCCGUCUAGGAUGAUUCCAAGAAGUCCAAGUUCAAGCGCCUUGCGGCAAACUAUGGAACAAAAAAACAGCCUAUCAAGGACACAAGCACGGCACUACAAAACUUCCAAGAAAAAGAAGAAAAUGAGAUGAGAUGAGAUGGCAAGUGUAUAGUGUGCAAGCAAAGACACCCUGCCCCCACCAACAGCUUCCAACAUCCUAAACCAAGCAAAAUCCAUGGCCAUUAUAUAAUAUUUCACUGUGGUCAAGCAUAUUGCGACGACAAAAAGACGAAUAUUCUGCCGGAUUCCUUUGCAAUGGAAAUCGUGUGAUGCUGAGGUUUAAGCUAGUUGGACUCCAACUAUCUGUUAGGAGGUCGCCGUGAUUUGAGCGAGAUUAAGCUGGAGAAAGUGUGUUUUUGAGGACGGAACGUGAGUUAUAUCCAAAAUUACUUUCCUACCUUUCACUUCGUUCUGGUAAGAGUUCAAAUAGUGAAUCUUGAAUCUUGAAUAGUAAACAUAAACACAACACUAGACUACACACGUCUUUUCAACAAGUUGUUUUUUAUUUUUCACUAAUUUUGGUUUUCGCCAUAUGUUAACCUUAAAUAUCAUAAGGGACAAAUAAAAAGCUUGGGCUACCUGUGGUUUGGUGGGUGUUUUAAAAAUCUAAAGUUU